CAAGCAGGCUGGUCCCCACAGAGGCAGGAGGGGGAGAAAACAGUCCUGAGGAUUUGCUAGAUCACACACAGCGCUGAUGUUCCUCCUGUGAUGCUCUGCCCAGCUGAGUUCAUGUUCAGAUCGGCUUCUCCCGUGUCUUGGGCUAACUUGCAGUGAUGGAAGCAGAAGAGAAAUAAUUAAUUCUACCCCAAGGGCUCUGCUGAGCUCUUCCAAGGUUACUGUCAUUAAGUGACCAGAAAAACAAAACUCUUUUCCAUUAACCUCAUCCCCUGACACCAGCUGCUAACCCGAGUCCUUCAGAACCUCACUGCCACUACCUGCACGGGAGCAAAGGCCUUCUCUGCAGUUCAUCUUGGUUCUUUUCAUUUGAGAAAUUAAUGCUACCAUUAACAACAAGUGACUGAAUCCUUGUUAUCAUUUGCCUAGACUUAAUCCUCAUAAGGUGGCCUGCUUACCCCUGUACCACUGCUGCUCCGAAAGAUGCUGCAGCGAGUGAAAAAUCUCCUUUAUUUGAAAAGGAGGGUGAAGAAACAAGCUUAAUUCAUUAAAAGGAGAAGGAUUAGCUCACAUAAAAGCGCUGUUCAGCACAGCUAAGCCCUCCUCUGAAUGGAAAAAAUAAGUUUUCCAGCAAAAUAGUGCACUGCUGGAAAGGAGCUCUGGAUUGAAAGAGAGCAGGAAUCUCUGCUGUUAGUCAGGAGUACAGUGUAAGAAGAAUUAAACUACAGAAGGGAAAAAAAAAAGGAAAAAAGCUGGCACUGAAGAUCUGGUGGCCUUGUUGUAGGUAUUGUAGGAGUUUUACUUUGAAUUUAAUCUAGUUUGGUACCUGUCCCUGGAGCAGCUCCUCUGGUUUAGUGAUGUGUGAAAGCAACCCAGCUCAAAUGCACCAAGACUGCUCAGCAAUGUGAACCACGCAGCAAGAAAUGGGAAAACUAAGGAAAUUCAGCUCAAAAACAUUCUCCUCAACCAAACUAACAGACAGAUGGAAAUGCACCUUUUGCCUUCUAUGGAUAAUAAUAUUUUGUCUGCGAAUAACUCAGAGCGUUUUUACCUGUAACAUUUGGAACUACCCUGUUUUCAAGCCACCUGCACUUCAUAAACUCUCAUCUCCCCUGGAUCAGUGCAAUAAAUUGAGAUGAGAUGAGGCACUUGAUGACGAAAUGAAGGAAGAGUGCAGUCAGUGUGGCUGAUUCUGCGAGUCACAGAGGGACGCUGCCAGAGAGUUACCUCGUGUUUGAACCUCUCCUGCUGAGCUGGAGCAGCCUGAGCUCGCUUUGCCCUGAAUUGCCGUGCCCUGAUGCACUUGAGAGCCCCAGAAUCCAGCAGGGAGCUG